GCAUUUGGAACUUUGGCAGCCACGAAAUAUUGUUCCAUAUCCCACAGAAAAUUUUCCAACUCUUUUGAACUACGCAAUCCACCAAACGCCUUUGGAUCAGGAAUCUUUACCUUCGACCGUUCUUCAUUGCCUUAGCCUGGAGCAGCCAAUGCCCGUCGAAGAACAGUGAUUUCGGCAUUCAAGUUUUCGACCUCCUUCUUCAGGUCUUUAACUUUGUCAUCCGUUGCCUCACAAGCCUGUUGGAUCCCAUCGCGAGACUCAUCUACCCCAUCCUUUAGACGGUAAAUCUCUGUAAUCAGAUCAGCCA
rnacentral:lncRNA from 1 species